UACGUAGGGGGCAAGCGUUGUCCGGAAUCAUUGGGCGUAAAGCGCGCGUAGGCGGCCAGAUAAGUCCGGUGUGAAAGUCACAGGCUCAACCUGUGAAUGCCGCUGGAAACUGGCGAGCUAGAGUACGAAAGAGGGUCGCGGAAUUCCCGGUGUAGAGGUGAAAUUCGUAGAUAUCAGGAGAAACACCGGUGGCGAAGGCGGCUCACUGGUCCAUUACUGACGCUGAGGUGCGAAAGCGUGGGGAGCAAACAGG
rnacentral:rRNA from 1 species